rnacentral:rRNA from 1 species
UACGGAGGGAGCUAGCGUUGUUCGGAAUUACUGGGCGUAAAGCGCACGUAGGCGGCUUUUUAAGUCAGGGGUGAAAUCCCGGGGCUCAACCCCGGAACUGCCUCUGAAACUGGAAAGCUAGAAUCUUGGAGAGGCGAGUGGAAUUCCGAGUGUAGAGGUGAAAUUCGUAGAUAUUCGGAAGAACACCAGUGGCGAAGGCGACUCGCUGGACAAGUAUUGACGCUGAGGUG